rnacentral:rRNA from 1 species
ACUGCAAGGCUAGAAUCUGGCAGAGGGGGGUAGAAUUCCACGUGUAGCGGUGAAAUGCGUAGAGAUGUGGAGGAACACCGAUGGCGAAGGCAGCCCCCUGGGUCAAGAUUGACGCUCAUGCACGAAAGCGUGGGGAGCAAACAGGAUUAGAUACCCUGGUAGUCCACGCCCUAAACGAUGUCUACUAGUCGUCGGGUUUUAAUUAACUUGGUAACGCAGCUAACGCGUGAAGUAGACCGCCUGGGGAGUACGGUCGCAAGAUUAAAACUCAAAGGAAUUGACGGGGACCCGCACAAGCGGUGGAUGAUGUGGAUUAAUUCGAUGCAACGCGAAAAACCUUACCUACCCUUGACAUGUACGGAAUCCCGAAGAGAUUUGGGAGUGCUCGAAAGAGAGCCGUAACACAGGUGCUGCAUGGCUGUCGCCAGCUCGUGUCGUGAGAUGUUGGGUUAAGUCCCGC